rnacentral:rRNA from 1 species
GACGAACGCUGGCGGCGUGCUUAACACAUGCAAGUCGAACGGAAAGGCCCUGCUUUUGCGGGGUGCUCGAGUGGCGAACGGGGGAGUAACACGUGAGUAACCUGUCCUUGACUUUGGGAUAACUUCAGGAAACUGGGGCUAAUACCGGAUAGGAGCUCCUGCAGCACGGUGGGGGUUGGAAAGUUUCGGCGGUUGGGGAUGGACUCGCGGCUUAUCAGCUUGUUGGUGGGGUAGUGGCUUACCAAGGCUUUGACGGGUAGCCGGCCUGAGAGGGUGGCCGGCCACAUUGGGACUGCGGUACGGCCCAGACUCCUACGGGAGGCAGCAGUGGGGAAUAUUGCACAGUGGGCGGGAGCCUGAUGCAGCAGCGCCGCGUGCGGGAUGACGGCCUUCGGGUUGUAAACCGCUUUCGCCUGUGACGAAGCGUGAGUGACGGUAAUGGGUAAAGAAGCACCGGCUAACUACGUG